GCCUGCAUGGGGUAAUGGUUUGAGUAUUGGACUACAACUCUCGAGACCAGGGUUCAAUCCCCUGCUCAGCCA